rnacentral:miRNA from 1 species
UUAUUGCUCAAGAAUGCCAAU